GACGGACGCUGGCGGCGUGCCUAAUACAUGCAAGUAGAACGCACAGUUUAUACCGUAGCUUGCUACACCAUAGACUGUGAGUUGCGAACGGGUGAGUAACGCGUAGGUAACCUGCCUGGUAGCGGGGGAUAACUAUUGGAAACGAUAGCUAAUACCGCAUAAUAUUGAUUAUUGCAUGAUAAUUGAUUGAAAGAUGCUAUUGCAUCACUACCAGAUGGACCUGCGUUGUAUUAGCUAGUAGGUGAGGUAACGGCUCACCUAGGCGACGAUACAUAGCCGACCUGAGAGGGUGAUCGGCCACACUGGGACUGAGACACGGCCCAGACUCCUACGGGAGGCAGCAGUAGGGAAUCUUCGGCAACGGACGAAAGUCUGACCGAGCAACGCCGCGUGAGUGAAGAAGGUUUUCGGAUCGUAAAGCUCUGUUGUAAGAGAAGAACGGGUGUGAGAGUGGAAAGUUCACACUGUGACGGUAUCUUACCAGAAAGGGACGGCUAACUACGUG
rnacentral:rRNA from 1 species